rnacentral:rRNA from 1 species
UAUCCUACGGGGGGCAGCAGUGGGGGAUAUUGCACAAUGGGGGAAACCCUGAUGCAGCGACGCCGCGUGUGGGAAGACGGUCUUCUGGAUUGUAAACCACUGUCCCCAGGGACGAAAAUGACGGUACCUGGGGAGGAAGCUCCGGCUAACUACGUGCCAGCAGCCGCGGUAAUACGUAGGUGGCGAGCGUUAUCCGGAAUGAUUGGGCGUAAAGGGUGCGUAGGCGGCCUGCUAAGUCUGGAGUGAAAGGUACCGGCUCAACCGGUACAGGCUCUGGAAACUGGCGGGCUAGAGAGCCGGAGGGG